rnacentral:tRNA from 1 species
UGGCGGAGUAGCUCAGUAGGUUAGAGCAGAGGAAUCAUAAUCCUUGUGUCGGGGGUUCGAAUCCCUCCUCCGCUACCAA